UUUGUUUUGCCAUUUUUUUCCUGGAAUUUGACGAUCAUCAAGAUUAAUUUAGGAUAAGCUUGAGCAAUAACGGGGGGCUGGUGGAACUAUUUGUUUGUUCAAGAUAUCGUCGUCAUCGAUUGUAUUAUUGCCAUCAAAAAAACAGACCAAGUUCAUGAACCUCUCACUCCCGCAUUUCUCGUGUGGCUGAAAGUGGGAAGUUCAUUGUUCGUCACGAAGGUUUCAAGUUCGAUUCAAGAAAUUUCCAUAGAUUCUGUUUCAGUUUAUUUGUUUGUUUGUAGCUUUCUUUGCAUCAUACUCCCCCAUGCAUUAUUGAUGUGUCGCAAUGCAAACAUUGAAAAACGAAACUGAAAGCGAACAGAUAUGCUUAACUUUUUCUCAUUUUUUUUUAUCAAAACAAUCGCAUCCAUUUGUGUCUAGUCAUUAUGUAGAUUGGGGGAAUGACUUGCGUUUGCGACAUGCAGUCUGGAUGACAUAAAAAGGGCGCCAGGAUCGAGACUUUUGAAAGGUUGCAAAUACUUUCCAAGUCCAAGGUUGAGAUCUGCAUCUGCGAUUACGACGAGCUGCUGAUUUAUGAAGGCCUAUGAAAUUGCGACUUUUGUUUACGUUAGAUAUAUUCUAUUUUGUUUAUUUCUGCAUCACGUUGGUUGUUUUUCAUAUUUUCAAUAAACAAAGUCAACUGA